rfam:Citrus clementina cultivar Clemenules unplaced genomic scaffold scaffold_5, whole genome shotgun sequence.
GCAGUCAGUGAUGAUAAGUGUAUAAUCCCAGCUCAUUAUGAGGCCUUUUGUAGGCCUGGGAAUAGAAUUUGUUUUCCAACAUUUAUCUGAGCCACAGC